UACGUUAGGGUGCAAAGCGUUUAAUCGGAAUACUGGGCGUAAAGCGUGCGCAGGCGGUUUUGUAAGUCUGUCGUGAAAGCCCCGGGCUCAACCUGGGAUUGCGAUGGAGACUGCAAAGGCUUGAAUCUGGCAGAGGGGGGGUAGAAUUCCACGUGUAGCAGUGAAAUGCGUAGAGAUCGGGAGGAACACCAGAGGCGAAGGCGGCUAGCUGGGACAAGCACUGACACCUCGA
rnacentral:rRNA from 1 species